rnacentral:rRNA from 1 species
GAUCCUGGCUCAGGAUGAACGCUANCUACAGGCUUAACACAUGCAAGUCGAGGGGCAUCAGUUUGGUUUGCUUGCAAACCAAAGCUGGCGACCGGCGCACGGGUGAGUAACACGUAUCCAACCUGCCUCAUACUCGGGGAUAGCCUUUCGAAAGAAAGAUUAAUAUCCGAUAGCAUAUAUUUCCCGCAUGGGUUUUAUAUUAAAGAAAUUCGGUAUGAGAUGGGGAUGCGUUCCAUUAGUUUGG